rnacentral:rRNA from 1 species
GCCAGACUCCUACGGGAGGCAGCAGUGGGGGAUAUUGCACAAUGGGGGAAACCCUGAUGCAGCGACGCCGCGUGUAGGAAGACGGUCCUCUGGAUUGUAAACUACUGUCCCCAGGGACGAAGAUGACGGUACCUGGGGAGGAAGCUCCGGCUAACUACGUGCCAGCAGCCGCGGUAAUACGUAGGAUCCGAGCAUUAUCCGGAGUGACUGGGUGUAAAGAGUUGCGUAGGUGGCAUAAUAAGUAGCUAGUGAAAUCUGGUGGCUCAACCAUUCAGACUAUUAGCUAAACUGUUAAGCUCGAGACCGUUAGGGGUAACUGGAAUUUCUAGUGUGGGAGUGAAAUCCGUAGAUAUUAGAAGGAACACCAAUAGCGUAGGCAGGUUACUGGGACGGUUCUGACACUAAGGCACGAAAGCGUAGGGAGCAAACGGGAUUAGAUACCCCCGUAAA